rnacentral:lncRNA from 15 species
AUGGCUCCCGGUUUGAGGAGUGGGCGGACGGGUCACCCCGACGUGGUGGGAGCCGGCGGAGCGGAACCCGGUGGGUGCUCGCCGCGGAGGACGGAUGCCGGAGGAGAGGGGAGGUGUUUGAGGACCAGGUGGCGGAGCAACGGAGCAGCGGGGAUGCUCGCGAACUGUCUGCUGUCUGUGGGAAUGCUUUUACUUGUUGUCCGGUGCGCUUUGGCCGCAGAGGAAAAACCCACCUAUGAUGCCUCUGGCUCCUCCUCUUUACCGAGCGACCCCGGAGUCACAGCUGCUCCUGCUCAUCCAUUGGCUGACCUGUCGGUGGCGGGGGAGGUGCCUUUCUCAGUCGUCCAUUCAGAUGGUGACUCAGAGUCUGAGGGUGAAGGCUUAUCUGGGCAGCCUGCCUUUUCUUCUGUCUUAACCGUCAUGGCAGGAACUGUCAAACAUCCGGUGAGCCUUGAUCAAAGUAGAACCUCACCGACUAUCACCAGGGUCGAGACACACACCACCCAAUGGCCUUCACAUAGUUCCAGCCUGGGCUCAGAGAUGUCCUCCUCAUCGUCUGCGGGAGACAGGAUCCUUCCCGCCAGCUCAGGUCUGACUUCUAACAUGUCUCACCAACAUACCACACCCCCUCAGACUGUUACCAUGGCAUCGACUGUUUCUAGGCCAUCACUUGUGUCUUUUAUGGAUGGAAACAGGAAUGUCUCAUUGUUUUCAUCAUUAACGGUAUCAUCUUCUUUAUUGUCAUCAUCAGUGUCUCCAUCAGCUCCAUCCACGUCCUCUGUGUUACCAUCUGUAGUGUCUCUAUUCUAUCCACCAUCUUUCUCUGAGUGGACAAACAAAGCUGCUUCUUCAUCUCAAAGUCAAAGGAUUGUAUCCAGCCAUGCCCCUCAGGCAAAAACAGCAAUAUUAUCACCAGCAGGGUCUCUGGGUUGGAUAGACAGUCUGCAAAGAACAAAAACCAAACCAUCACACUUUCCAAGUACAACCAGCAUUGAAAAGAGCAACAAAGUGACAAAACACUCAUUGCACUCAUCAGCAGAUAAAAUCCAUGGAGCAAGUGGAACCUACAUGAUUGGUGUAAGUACAAAAGUAAUAAAGACACCAGCAACCAGCACAUAUGCAUCAUAUUCUACUCCUAAGAAUGGACAAACUCUUUUAAAGAAUUUAUACGGACCCACUCAAACCCAGAACCCAGGUAUGAACUCUGUAUCAGCCAAUAAUCUUGACGUUAGCACCUCAUUUCCUCCCAAUCAAGAGCGUCAAGCUGUUCAAAGGCAGCAGGGAGUUUUACAAAAUCCCACAUCAGCACUGCUGUCUGCCAAUCCUAAAGGCUAUUCAGUUUCUAGUCAUGUCACACAGCAGAUGUUAAAUCCAACAGCAUAUGCAGAAAAGAAAAACAAGACAGCUGUAGAUAGUCAGACUUUUGUUCACAAAAGUGAUGUAAUCAAGUCACAUGCUGUAAAUCCAACUGUAUCGCUGGCAAUGAAGUUCAGACCCACUGGAUCUUUUUUUACAGUUUCCUCCCGGUCUCCACCAGGUAAAACAUCUCUCUCUGAAACUGCAAUCACUAAGCUAACACCUAUCCACUCUGGCAUGGUGUCCUCAGAGCUUGCAUCUAAUCCUAGUGAUUUACUGAUGGCAACGGGUCACGGCAGCCCCAGAGUUCCUGCCAUCAAUAUAAAUUACAACCAGAGAGAGAUAGCAGAAGCAGAGCUCAAAUCUAUUUCCGCUCAAGCACACCCGAAUAACUCACUUUCACUCACACAGCUGAGGCCGGAGUCCACCACUGGUUCCAUCCUCAGUGUGUUUGCCAGGACAAGCAUAACCUCCUCCACAUCAGAGUCAGAUUCACUUCAUUUGCCCAGUAAUGGAGUCAUAAACGUUCAAGAAUUUGUAACACAAACAGGGUCUCCCAAGGGUAUAACUCAGGAGCCUACAGCAUGGUUGACGCCAAAAAUGUCAAUUCCCUCCAACAGUAGGACAAUGUCUCUUCCUGGUUCAGCGUUGUCAACUAGGUUAGCAAAGGAUAUAAAUGAUAAAACCAUGUAUGACAGUCUUUCACACCCCACUCGGCCUACAUACGUAUUACCCUUGCUUCUCAGCCACAGCCCAAACCACAACAUCACUGAUCACAGCAUUGGCCUGUCUGCUAAUGGUGAGGUUAAUUUUGCAGACCAACCCAAAGCAUCAUUAACAUCCCUAAUUACACCCACACAAAGACCUUUUCAAACAAGAUCUUUACUUACUUUCCCCCACAAGUUUUAUACAACCCCCAAUAAAUCUCACCAGACAGUGUCCUCGGCUGAAAUAUCUGCUCAUAUCAUAAAAUCUGAGAGAGCUGGUCGCAGUAUAACUUCAACCUUUGCGGUGGAAACAAAUGCAAGAAACAGUGAAAUAUCACCAGCCUUCGAUGUUCACUUGGCACAUGGAAAGUGGCCUGCUGAUAGCUUCCACAGAAACACUGCAAAGAGUUCAGAUUCGCCUUUAUUUGAUGGAAAUGAAAAGUCAACUCUAAUCAGAGACACUGUGUUUUACAAGCAGGGUGUUCGAUCAGGGAAGUUCACAACAGAGUUUCCCUCUUUCAUGACUACAAAAGAGUUCUUUAUAUUGAAUAAAGGCUCUGAAGAUUCUGGAAAAGGAUCUUCCACUGAAAUCCCUUUUUCUCCAGUAACCUUUGAUCCUGCAUUAGAAACCCUGAAAAGUCUUUCUCAUAAAGAUGAUGUGACACUCAGUUCCCGUUUUGAACAGUCUACUCUUUCCUCCUGGUCAGAAAUCAUCCUAACACCGAGGACAAACUCUACUUCUCGCUCUCAGGAACCAAUCAACAGUUUGACAAGCAAUAAAUCAAAUUUUUAUUUAGGUAGACAAACAACCAUUCCCUCCACUGCUUCCUCUGCUGCAACUACUUCCUCCAGUGAUGGACAAAACAGCAGUGAACCAUUUAGUGCUAUUUUCAGCUUUGGCACAAAAAUAAUGGCACCGUAUACAAAGUGGGAAGCCACCAAGCCUGCGCCUUUUCAAAGCACUGCCUCUGAAUUAGAAAAUACAUCUAUUGGCUUUGAUAGGGCAAAUUCUAAUUUACAAGCAGAUGGACCAUCAUAUGAACAUCCAAAGCUGGAAGACAGACAAGAGCAUAAUGUACAUAUAUUGAAUUCAACUGAUCCAACUGUAGUCACCAGCAAUUCCUAUUCACUUUAUCCAACUGUUGGAGAGCAUCCAUUUUUUACAUAUGUUAAAGGCACAUCAGCAGAUAAAGAACAGAGUCUGAAUUUGUCUGCACCUAAUCUCAUAUCGGCUGUGCCUGUGAAUGUACAGCGAGGAGCCACUUUAAACACUGCUGCAUGGGGUUCAGAUGGUAAUCUGCCCCUCUUUCACAUAACUACUGAGUCUGUACCAUCUUCACAAGCUUCUUCUCUUGCAUUGGUGUAUGAGAGCAAGCACAGCCCCCCUCUGGCAGAUGUCGACUCUCCUGAAUCUGCAUUUGCUACUUCUGUCACACUUUCAAACAACCCUGCACUCAGUUUCAACAACAACACAACUGAUAAGACACUGGGGGGGUUUGCCCUACCAACAGAGCUAGAGCCAUCAUCUUCUUUAUUUCAUUCAUCAUCAUCUUCAGAGACUUCACCACUGUCAUACAGUAGUAUCAAAGCUUCUCAGUUAUCCUUACAUAUGAAACCCUCCACUCCAGUGUCUUAUAAAGCUUCAUCAGCCUCAUCGUCUUCUUCAUCACUGUCAUCAUCAACAUUACAUUCAGAUGGUAUGACAUUAUCAAUGAAACUGAUCUUGUACCCAGGCACUGCAUCAUCAUCUGUGUCUGUAAAAGCUGUACCAGCCACAUUUCCAACCUCAUCACCAAGUCUGUCCUCAUUAAUAGAUUCUGAUCGCUCAGAGGUAGUGACUGAGACGUUUGUUGUUUUUACAGAGACAGGGACAGAUGAGUUAACCACUGGAACAUCCAGAGCAGUUGCGCUCACUUUCCCCAAAGAAAAAGUGGCCAGUCUAGCCCCCUCUCAAUCAGUCAGAAUUACCCUUUCUGCUGGGCCCACCGAGAGGACAUCUCAGGUAUCACCUCUGCCCCCUCGAGAGGACACCACAACAGCCUCUGUCAAGCUUACCACCACAACUGUAGCUUCAACCACCAAAACUAAAGACCCCACCACUACCACGCCUUUCCUAAGAGUCACCACCGGAACCACACAGUCUACCACGACUACCAUACCACAGCUCACACCUGUGACCAGGAGAACAACGACCACUACAACCGCCAGGUCUCAAACCAGCAGGAGAACAUUCACACCACCUGUCCCCAGAACGAGCCCUCCCAGGGGGACCAGCACAGUCUUUAUUUCGCCUUUUACCACCACCACAGAGGCUCCACCACAACAGUGCAACAUUACAGAGAGAUUAUGGGUGAAAACAGGUAAACAAUUCCUUUGCCACAUUCUUAAAAAAAUUAUGAAACUUGGUUAUUUCUCUAAUAUGUUUUGUCUGGUGUCUGUCUUGGUUUCUUCCUUUUUUUGUCUGUUUGUCUCUCUCUCUGUCUCCAUAUCUCUCUUAGUUGUUUCCAUCUAUGUGAGAAGAAACAGACUGGACAGCAUACAGAGGCAGAACCUGCGAAGGGGACUAAGUCAGGGCCUCCGAAAAGCUCUGAAUGAUAGUUCAGCCCAGGCUCAGGUCAGACUGUUAUCAGUUCUCUAAAUUAGUCAACGAACACAGCUGUUAUACACUUUACAUUCAUUUAUAGACUCAAAUAUACCCU